GGUAGUGUGGUGUAGUGGUUUGAGUGUUAGACUGUGACUCUGGAGACCAGGGUUCAAUUCCCAGCCGUGAAA